UUUCUCCCUGAAGCCAAAGAUUUUGAGAUUAAUCUCCACAGAAAAUGAAACAGCCUAUUCAGACACAGAACCAGAAAAAAAUGAACCUCCAAUAUAAAAAAAAUCCCUAGGCGGCGAUGGCGAUUGCGACUUUUUCGACGACAUGAAGAUUGGAUCGAUAAGUGUAUUUUUAGGGAUCUUGGUGGGGCAGAUUGAUGAUGAAAUUGGGUCUCACUGAUUUACUGAGGAGUUUGCGUUGAAAUUAUGAGAGAAAAUAAUUUAUUUUGGGUAUCAAAGGAUCGGAGCUGAUUGGAUUUUCCUGAUUGAGAAGAAUCAUGGAGUAAGGAGGGAGGGGUUUCCUUGCUUGCUUGUGGCAGACCUAUGGAUAAGGAAAGGGGAGAAAAUCGAUGGUUCAAAAAGGUAUACAAGGAAGGUUUUGCUAAAGCAAAUAUCCAGAUUGUUUUGACAGAUUUGUCAAGAACUAUGACUCAGGGUCAGUGGAUGGUUAAGUCUGGUGGCAAAAAGGUACAGGCCCCAAGUAUGGGUUUGAAUAUUUCGAUCCCAAAAUUCGACAACUCAAAUCUCAUUGCCGAAUAUUCGAAGACGUUGAUUGGGAGAUGCAUGAAUCCCUUCAAGCAGGAGAUGAAGGCGUUGCUGUUCCAUCUACCAAAGAUUUGAAACGUUGAUGAGAGAGUGGUGGGCGCUGAUCUGAGACUAGGACGCUUUCAGUUUGACUUCGACCAGGAGGAAGAUAUUGUUGAGGUGAUGAAGAAGGAACCUUUUCAUUUCGAUAACAGGAUGCUUUCCAUUGUCCGUUGGGCACCGGUGGUGGAGGAGAACUAUCCUUCCAAGAUAACGUUUGGGGUGCGCGUCAUUGGUGUCCCUUUGCAUUUAUGGCUGUACCAACUUCCAAAAGCAUAGGUGAGGCAUUGGGAGAGGUCCGAGGCGAUGACGAUAUUGAUAUAGAUGAAGGGAGGGUGAUCAUCGAUGCUUUCAAGCCCCUGGUGUUUUUGGUUACUGCAGAGUUCCACAGUGGUGAUGAGUCGACCAUCGCUUUGAGGUACGAGAAACUGCACGGGUUUUGUCGAAUCUGCUCGAGUUUGAGGCACGAUCAGUUUCGUUGUCUGGCGGUGAAGAAGAGUACUGACGAUGAGUCUGAGGUGCAACUACCAAAACCGGAACAGGACCCAUCCAUGUUAAGAUAUAAGGGACCAGUGGAAUCAGAAGGAAGAGAGGUUGGUGUCGAUGCUGAGGGGAACAAUCAAAGGCAAGGCCAACAAAUCCCAAGAAACAGGGAUUACAAAGGAAAGGGUAUUGCUUUUUGACGACAACAAAUAUGAGGGCAAUCAUAAAUCGGGUUUUAAGAGGCCUUAUAGAGAUCAAGAUGGUGGCUACUCAAAGAAUCUGAGGCAGACUGGUCGUUUUACAUCAUUAGAGGUCCCAGUGAGGUAUGCUAUAGAUACACAUGGUUUAAAAAAUCUCAACACUCAAGAGAUGGGGCAACAUUUGGACGAGCAACAAAGCUGAUGCUUGAUGCCUUCAAAAGUGGCAAGAGUGUAGAGACAAACCAGAUCUCAGCCUCUAAAGCUCGUAAGGCUCUCACCUUUGAAGGAAACAGCUCUGGAACUGCUAUGGAGGGCUUGGAUGGUACAUAUGGUGCGAGUGGCACAGAUGGUAUGAGUGUGGAGGAGGCGGAGCCUAAGGCAUUGGAGGAGAAACUCCUUCUCCCUGACAGUCAUGUUGCUGAUAAACCCGUCAUUUUCAACAAAGAGGAGAGUGGGGAGAGAAGAUAGAGGACAUGGAGGGUUUGUCUGAAGAUCUAGAUCUGGAGUUAACUGGUGAUGCACGUUUUACUGAAGUAGUGGAACAGGAUGGCUCUGAGCAAGUGGGCGAUGCGGUUCGUACAUAGGCCGAUUUCGAUGUGGAGGAGGAUGAUCAAUUGAUGGAGACAGAAACUGAGGAGGUCUUGCCUGCUGCUGUAGACAAGGAACGUCAAGGUGCUAAUAAGAAGAAGCUGGGGAAGGCAAGUGGUGCUGUUAUGGGAGGGUUUCUUAAGAAGAGGUUGGUGCAGAGUCCGAUUUCGAUGUGGAGGAGGAUGAUCAAUUGAUGGAGACAAAAACUGAGGAGGGCUUGCCUGCUGCUGAAGACAAGUAACGUCAAAGUGCUAAUAAGAAGAAGCUGGGGAAGGCAAGUGGUUCUGUUAUGGGAGGGUCUCUUAAGAAGAGGUUGGUGCAGAGUGUCGUUUCCCCACGAAAGAAACACACUGCUAAGCAGGGGAGUAAGGUGGGGGGGAGAAGGGUAUGCCACCCCCAUAUAAGGCUACGGUUAAGCCAGUUCCAGAUCAGAACUAAAGAGCGCAUAAUUUUUUAAGAGUUUAAUGAAUAAGUGUUAGGAAAGAGUUAGUAAUUCCCAGGAUAUUAUUGCUACUUUAUUUCUCUAUUCUUGUUAUGAGUUGCCUCUGAAGUCUUCAGGGAGUUCGAAUCAUAAAUUUGUUUUCUCUUCUUUGGUAAAGAUUCCUUCUCUUAUGGUUCAUUUUUAUAGUCUAGAAAUGCAGAGGAUGGGUUCCUCUCAGGGAUAACCGCCUACUGUAAGCUAUUGGGGCAUCUUUCUUUCUAUAAUUAGGAGUCAAGCUGAGCAUAGGACUCUGGUUUUGUGGAUUAUGGGGUUUUCAGGUGGCAGUUGGUAUUAUAUUAGUAGAGAUUUGAGGGUCACAAGAUGUGGUUCUUCUGGAUAAGGCAUUUUGCCAUUAAGUUUGUUUUUGAGAUUAUUAAGGACCAUCAACUUCUCCAGGUUGUAAAGAAAUCUCUCGAUUGGCGUAAUGGGUAUUGGAUGGUCUUGAGCCGUAUAAAGAAUAGGUCAUUUCUAGAUGAUUAUCAUUUGAUUUGUUUCACCUAGCGUUCCAUCAGGUUGUGUUUGAUAUGUGUCACUUUGAUUUACUAUCUUUAUGGAUCCACUGGGGGCUUAUGUGUUCGUACUGUCCUGAUGUUUAUCGUACAGAUGGAGGAUUGUGGCUUAGGAAUCGCAUGGAAGAUAUGGCACUGCAUAGAUGCUGUGAAACAUAUAGAAUCCCAUAUAUGAGACAGCUGUCUAUGGAAUUGAGUGAAGAUGACCGUAAUGAGCUGAGAAAUAACUCAAAAGUAUUCUAUAUAUGACUUAUAUGCCAUGUUCUAAAAAUCGGCCGCCUAAGCGCUACGCGUCACUCUUCCGCCCCGAUUUAUGC